CCAGCAGCUGCGGUAAUUCCAGCUCCAAUAGCGUAUAUUUAAGUUGUUGCAGUUAAAAAGCUCGUAGUUGGAUUUCGGGUGGGUUCUAGCGGUCCGCCUAUGGUGAGUACUGCUAUGGCCUAUCUUUCUGUCGGGGACGGGCCCCUGGGCUUCACUGUCCGGGACCCGGGUUCGACAUGGUUACUUUGAGUAAAUUAGAGUGUUCAAAGCAGGCGUUCGCCCUGAAUACAUUAGCAUGGAAUAGCACGAUAGGACUCUGGCCUAUUCUGCUGGUCUGUAGGACCGGAGUAAUGAUUAAGAGGGACAGUCGGGGGCAUUCGUAUUUCAUUGUCAGAGGUGAAAUUCUUGGAUUUAUGAAAGACGAACUUCUGCGAAAGCAUUUGCCAAGGAUGUUUUCAUUGAUCAAGAACGAAAGU
rnacentral:rRNA from 1 species